AAGCUGGAUUAGGUUUCCCUAUGAGGAAUAAUAGGGUAGGAAGCCUUAUGCCUUGCCUACUGGGGCAACCAAGGGCCAUGACCUAGACAUUGAGUAUGGACACUGAUCCAUAGAGAUAAGACAGAGGAACCAUCCACACUGGGUGAGCUCAAGUCCAGUUGUCCCCACAUUCCCAGAUGUACCAAGCCCAAAACAGGCCCAUAAAGAUGAAAAGCACUGAGGCUAGAGACCAGUGAUUUGCCAAAGCCCCUCCACAACUGAAAUGGCUCCAGGUGCUCAGCCCCAGGACAUGUGAUUGGAUUGUUCAUCCAGGCAAAGAAAGGCCAAGUCCCCAGGGAUCCAACCACAGUGGAAGAUGGGACCAUCCUGUGCCUGCGAAGAUGGUGGCCCUGGGAUUCUUGGAGAAGGGAGAGAUCAGUAUCUCUGAGAUGCACAGAGGGCAUGUCCAGCAAAGAAGCAUAACAGAGUGUUCUGGCGGGGACUUGCACAAAAUUUAUACCUUCCUCACUUCAUGAUAACUUGUUCUGGCUAUUACUAGAAGUGGCUUUCAGAUGUAUUGGGAAAGGCAGAACCGGGAAACCAAUAUAAUGAGAGACCUCCCUGGCAUCACCAAGUCUUAGUUGUUCUACAUCGUUUUGUCAUCAGUUUGGUAAAUAAAUGGUUAGAUAAAAUUUUAAAGCA
rnacentral:lncRNA from 1 species